CAAAUAUUUUAUUAUACACUAUACACAUCAUCACAUGGCAACAUUUACUCGUUUCACUGAUGGAAUGACCUAGUAAUAACUUUGUGAACUAUGACAUAUCGGCAAUAAAAUAAUACAGGGGGAGUGUUAAUCCAGAACAUGUUACACUGGAAUACAAACCUUCUUAAAAAAAGUAUAUAAAAGGAAUGGGCUCUUUGAAACUGUAAGAGGUAUGCUAAAUUUUUCAACCCAAUAUCUAAUCAAUGUUAAUGUAAACAUUCCAUUCUUAUGACACCAUAAACAGCUACAACCACCUACUAUAACACCAUAAAUAGAGAAACACAUCAAAUGGAAAGUGUAUCUUAUUCCUUCUUGGCAUUAAUGUGCAUUUCUGGCCUGAUGUCAUUCACAAGUUGCAAAAUACGCUCAAUUACCUGGUCCUUAUGAACACCCACUUGCUUGUUCAUUGCAGCAAUUUUCUCAUGGGUCUCAUUCUUGAUCUUCAAUGCAGCAUCAUCUUGUGAACCAAGGUGCUUUGCUUCAUACUCUUUGAACUGUCGCUCUCGUUCUUGUCUAAAUUUUUCAAUUUCUGACUGUGCUUCAUCCUUUGCCUGUUUCAGGCGACGAGCCUUACGCUUCCUUGCUUCAGCAACUCUUUCAGCUGCCUUUUUCUCUGCAGCCAACAACUGCUGAACUCCUUGACUUUGACUUGCCAUGACUCGUCGAUUUUUUGAUUAUAAACCCAUUUAUUUAUUCAUUUAUAUAUAUAGAUAUCUGCGUAUAUACUGAUAAACAAAAAUACAUCCCAGAAGAUUCAGAUAGACUUGAGCACCAUGAUAACUAUUAUCAAUUAAACAAAUAGAAUUAUUUUCAAUUAGCAAUAAAGGUUUUAUUGAAAUAUGUUUAACAUCUCUAUUUUUAAUGACAUAUUGCCAAAGAUCAAUGCAAUGCUUUACACUAUUUUUUGGUUGUUUUAUAAUUUUAGUGAUAUCUCUCAUUGAAAUGAUGCUAAUUGAAUCUAGUUCACUCCUUAGACUUGCUGAAUUACAGGGACACAAUUUCACUAUCCAUCUGAUGUCAUAAGAAAGAAUUGAAAAGGCAUUUCAUGGAAAAAUAUUACGCUAUCUUUAUAUAAAGUAAAUCGACACGUUGCGAGUUUCAGAUCAUCAGUAAAACUAACAUUUGCUGCUAUGCUAUAUAUAUAUAGAUUUAUGUACAUAUAUAGAGCAUUGAACUGGAACAAAGGUCGUCAUAAGGAGUGCACUAAUUAACAUGUCCCAUGGAAACACUAAAAAAUAAACCGGUUUCUUACUGAAAACUAAAAAUAUGUAUAUGGCAGCCCAAGCGUGAGCCACACAUCUAUAGGAUACGCCUAGGAAGAGCCAUUUUGUUCUGGUUCUUGGAGUUCUUGUUUAUCGUCUGUAGCCUCUCGCUUUCCAAGCCCAAAGCCGUAAGAACCAGGAACUCUCUUCCCGAGACCGAAUGAAUAAGACCCCGAGCGUCUACCGAGACCAUUUAGAGAAGAAGAAAAAGAGUCGUCGUCAUGUGCGCCAGCGCCGUCGGUGAAUGACCCUGAUUUUUUUCCAAGACCAAAUGCAUAAGGGCUUGACCUUUUCCCUAAGCCAAAUGCAUACGGGCUUGACCUUUUCCCUAAGCCAAAGGCAUAAGGUCUAGACUUCUUUCCUAGCCCAAAAGCGUACGGACUAGACCUUUUCCCAAGGCCAAAUGAAUAAUGUCCAGCUUUUU
rnacentral:misc_RNA from 1 species